rnacentral:lncRNA from 1 species
CGGUACAGAGUCAAUGUGGAGGCUAUAUACAGGGUGUAAUGGUACAGAGUCAAUGUGGAGGCUAUAUACAGGGUGUUACGGUACAGAGUCAAUAUGGAGGCUAUAUACAGGGGGUACCGGUACAGAGUCAAUAUGGAGGCUAUAUACAGGGGGUUACCGGUACAGAGUAAAUGUGGAGGCUAUAUACAGGGGGUACCGGUACAGAGUCAAUAUGGAGGCUAUAUACAGGGGGUACCGGUACAGAGUCAAUGUGGAGGCUAUAUACAGGGGGUACCGGUACAGAGUCAAUGUGGAGGUUAUAUACAGGGGUUACCGGUACAGAGUCAAUAUGGAGGCUAUAUACAGGGGGUACCGGUACAGAGUCAAUGUGGAGGUUAUAUACAGGGGUUACCGGUACAGAGUCAAUAUGGAGGCUAUAUACAGGGGGUACCGGUACAGAGUCAAUGUGGAGGCUAUAUACAGGGGGUACCAGUACAGAGUCAAUGUGGAGGUUAUAUACAGGGGGUACCGGUACAGAGUCAAUGUGGAGGCUAUAUACAGGGGGUACCGGUACAGAGUCAAUAUGGAGGUUAUAUACAGGGGGUACCGGUACAGAGUCAAUGUGGAGGCUAUAUACAGGGGGUACCAGGUACAGAGUCAAUGUGGAGGCUAUAUACAGGGGGUACCUGUACAGAGUCAAUAUGGAGGCUAUAUACAGGGGGUACCGGUACAGAGUCAAUGUGGAGGCUAUAU